GAUGAACGCUGGCGGCGUGCCUAACACAUGCAAGUCGAACGAUAAGACGAGGAACCUUGCUGUUUGACGUUCGCGGCGCACAGGGGAGUAACAUGUGGGUAACACAGCUAUAAGACUGGGAUAACUUCGGGAAAACGGUGGCAAUACCGGCUAAACUGCUGAACCGCAUGGUUCAACAGCGUAAGACCGUCUUGCUGUCACUUAUCGCAGAAUCCGCGCCGCAUUAGCUAGUUGGUAAGGUAACGGCUUACCAAGGCAACGAUGCGUAGCCGACCUGAGAGGGUGACCGGCCACACUGGAACUGAGACACGGUCCAGACUCCUACGGGAGGCAGCAGUAGGGAAUCUUGCGCAAUGGGCGAAAGCCUGACGGAGCAACGCCGCGUGAGUGAAGAAGGUCUUCGGGUCGUAAAGCUCUGUUAUCAGGGAAGAACAAAUGUGUAAGUAAAUAUGCACGUAUUGACGGUACCUAAACAGAAAGCCACGGCUAACUACGUG
rnacentral:rRNA from 1 species